GAGGUUUUUUUUUUUUUUUUUUUUUUUACCAGAUCUCAGAAGAUGCAAACAUGUAUAGCGUACAACACUGGCCAACUGCUUCUUUCUGGACACCUAACAUUUGAAACCCAGUGUUAUUGCAUAUAAGCCUGAGCUGAUUGUAGAGUCACCUGGGUUCCAUCCCCCGCAAAAUCUACUUUAAAUGGCCUGGAAG
rnacentral:lncRNA from 1 species